UACGUAGGGUGCGAGCGUUGUCCGGAAUUACUGGGCGUAAAGGGCGCGUAGGCGGCCCGCUAAGUCGAACGUGAAAUCCCCGAGCUCAACUCGGGAACUGCGUCCGAUACUGGCGGGCUUGAAUCCGGGAGAGGGAUGCGGAAUUCCAGGUGUAGCGGUGAAAUGCGUAGAUAUCUGGAGGAACACCGGUGGCGAAGGCGGCAUCCUGGACCGGCAUUGACGCUGAGGCGCGAAAGCCAGGGGAGCAAACGGG
rnacentral:rRNA from 1 species